rnacentral:rRNA from 1 species
GAUGAACGCUGGCGGCGUGCCUAAUACAUGCAAGUCGAGCGAACAGGUAAGGAGCUUGCUCCUUUGACGUUAGCGGCGGACGGGUGAGUAAAACGUGGGUAACCUACCUAUAAGACUGGGAUAACUUCGGGAAACCGGAGCUAAUACCGGAUAAUAUUUCGAACCGCAUGGUUCGAUAGUGAAAGAUGGAUUUGCUAUCACUUAUAGUUGGACCCGCGCCGUAUUAGCUAGUUGGUAAGGUAACGGCUUACCAAGGCUACGAUACGUAGCCGACCUGAGAGGGUGAUCGGCCACACUGGAACUGAGACACGGUCCAGACUCCUACGGGAGGCAGCAGUGGGGAAUCUUGCGCAAUGGGCGAAAGCCUGACGCAGCAACGCCGCGUGAGUGAUGAAGGUCUUCGGAUCGUAAAACUCUGUUAUUAGGGAAGAACAUACGUGUAAGUAACUGUGGACGGCUUGACGGUACCUAAUCAGAAAGCCACGGCUAACUACGUG